ACGAACGCUGGCGGCGUGCUUAACACAUGCCAGUAGAACGGAAAGGCCCUGCUUUUGUGGGGUGCUCGAGUGGCGAACGGGUGAGUAACACGUGAGUAACCUGCCCUUGACUUUGGGAUAACUUCAGGAAACUGGGGCUAAUACCGGAUAGGAGCUCCUGCUGCAUGGUGGGGGUUGGAAAGUUUCGGCGGUUGGGGAUGGACUCGCGGCUUACCAGCUUGUUGGUGGGGUAGUGGCUUACCAAGGCUUUGACGGGUAGCCGGCCUGAGAGGGUGACCGGCCACAUUGGGACUGAGAUACGGCCCAGACUCCUACGGGAGGCAGCAGUGGGGAAUAUUGCACAAUGGGCGGAAGCCUGAUGCAGCAACGCCGCGUGCGGGAUGACGGCCUUCGGGUUGUAAACCGCUUUCGCCUGUGACGAAGCGUGAGUGACGGUAAUGGGUAAAGAAGCACCGGCUAACUACGUG
rnacentral:rRNA from 1 species